CGGUAGUAAAUUUAUAUUAUAAAAACCUUCCUACCUUGGCGGCAUUUCAUCUAAUUAGAGGAACUCGUUUUUUAAUAGAAACCACCCUAUAAUCUUCACUUUUCUUAAAAAUUCAUAUACCGCCAUCACCAGAGUUUGUCCGAAAACAUCCUCAAAACUUAUAAAAACAAGUUAGGUCAAGGUGUGUUCAAUAGAAAAGAUAAAAUAAGUUACAUUAAAUUCAAUUUAAGAAAUUUUAAUAAACAUUAAAAAGAAAAAGGAUUUAAAUUCAUUAUAAAAAUAAUAUUUUUACUUGAAUCAGAUAAUAAAUGUGC
rnacentral:rRNA from 1 species